AUUGGAAGUUUAUUGAAUGGUUUC
rnacentral:siRNA from 1 species